UACGUAGGGUGCAAGCGUUGUCCGGAAUUAUUGGGCGUAAAGAGCUCGUAGGCGGUUUGUCGCGUCUGCUGUGAAAACGCGAGGCUCAACCUCGCGCCUGCAGUGGGUACGGGCAGACUAGAGUGUGGUAGGGGAGAUUGGAAUUCCUGGUGUAGCGGUGGAAUGCGCAGAUAUCAGGAGGAACACCGAUGGCGAAGGUAGAUCUCUGGGCCAUUACUGACGCUGAGGAGCGAAAGCGUGGGGGGCGAACAGG
rnacentral:rRNA from 1 species